CACGUAGGGUGCGAGCGUUGUCCGGAAUUAUUGGGCGUAAAGAGCUCGUAGGCGGUGUGUCGCGUCGGCCGUGAAAACCUGGGGCUUAACUCUGGGCUUGCGGUCGAUACGGGCAUCACUGGAGUUCGGCAGGGGAGACUGGAAUUCCUGGUGUAGCGGUGAAAUGCGCAGAUAUCAGGAGGAACACCGGUGGCGAAGGCGGGUUUCUGGGCCGGUACUGACGCUGAGGAGCGAAAGCGUGGGGAGCAAACAGG
rnacentral:rRNA from 1 species